GACGAACGCUGGCGGCGUGCCUAAUACAUGCAAGUAGAACGCUGAAGACUUUAGCUUGCUAAAGUUGGAAGAGUUGCGAACGGGUGAGUAACGCGUAGGUAACCUGCCUACUAGCGGGGGAUAACUAUUGGAAACGAUAGCUAAUACCGCAUAACAGCAUUUAACCCAUGUUGGAUGCUUGAAAGGAGCAAUUGCUUCACUAGUAGAUGGACCUGCGUUGUAUUAGCUAGUUGGUGAGGUAACGGCUCACCAAGGCGACGAUACAUAGCCGACCUGAGAGGGUGAUCGGCCACACUGGGACUGAGACACGGCCCAGACUCCUACGGGAGGCAGCAGUAGGGAAUCUUCGGCAAUGGGGGCAACCCUGACCGAGCAACGCCGCGUGAGUGAAGAAGGUUUUCGGAUCGUAAAGCUCUGUUGUAAGAGAAGAACGUGUGUGAGAGUGGAAAGUUCACACAGUGACGGUAACUUACCAGAAAGGGA
rnacentral:rRNA from 1 species